GGCAAAGGAGACAACGCCAUCGCUGCUGGAGGAGAUGGUGGACGAGCGGCUGGACGAGCAGUUGGCGACAUGGAGGAGGAAGAUCAAUUCUUGGCUGCGGAUACUUUGUCUGUUCUUCCUCCUGCUGAUGGUGGCCAUCUUCUUCCUGCUACUGAUGAAGAGGGACACCCUUAACUGGGUCCUGCCACCGAAAAUGGCAGGUGCCCUUAGGAGCC